ensembl:lncRNA
GGGAGACUGGAGUGAUGGAGGUAGAUAUGUAUAGGAGACAGGGAUACUGGAGUGAUGGAGGUAGAUAUGUAUAGGGGGAAGGAGACUAGGAAUCACGAUCAAAGAUAAACAGAGUAGCAGUGUGUGUGUGUAUAGAGUGUCAGUAUAAAUGUUUGUGCUUAUUAUUUGUGAGUGACAAAAUGGAGUGUGUGUGUGUUGCAGUCUGUGUUUUGUAGUGUGUGUGCGUCUGUGUGUUGUAGUGUGUGUGUGUGUGUGUGUGUGUGUAGUGUGUUUUGUAGUGUGUGUGUGUGUGUGUUGUAGUGUGUGUUGUAGUG